rnacentral:rRNA from 1 species
AACGCGAAGAACCUUACCUGGGCUAGACAACGGUGGACAACCCGCGAAAUCGGGCCUUCCCUUCGGGGACUGCCGGUUCAGGUGCUGCAUGGCUGUCGUCAGCUCGUGUCGUGAGAUGUUGGGUUAAGUCCCGCAACGAGCGCAACCCUCGUUCUAUGUUGCCAGCGGUUCGGCCGGGAACUCAUAGGAGACUGCCGGGGUCAACUCGGAGGAAGGUGGGGAUGACGUCAAGUCCUCAUGCCCCUUAUAUCUAGGGCUGCAAACAUGCUACAAUGGCCGGUACAGAGGGCUGCGAGACCGCAAGGUGGAGCGAAUCUCAAAAAGCCGGUCUCAGUUCGGAUUGGGGUCUGCAACUCGACCCCAUGAAGUCGGAGUCGCUAGUAAUCGCGAAUCAGCAACGUCGCGGUGAAUACGUUCCCGGGCCUUGUACACACCGACUGUAC